rnacentral:miRNA from 1 species
AAGAAAUGCAUUGGAUGGAAAUUUAGUUUCUAUGGAUGUAAAGCAUAGACCAUUGGUACAACUAAAAUGCCCUCCAUUAUUAAUUA